UACGGAGGGGGCGAGCGUUAUUCGGAAUUAUUGGGCGUAAAGGGCGCGUAGGCGGCCUUCUAAGUCAGACGUGAAAUCCCCAGGCUUAACUUGGGAACUGCGUCUGAUACUGGGAGGCUUGAGUGCGGGAGAGGGAUGUGGAAUUCCAGGUGUAGCGGUGAAAUGCGUAGAUAUCUGGAGGAACACCGGUGGCGAAGGCGGCAUCCUGGACCGACACUGACGCUGAGGCGCGAAAGCUAGGGGAGCAAACGGGG
rnacentral:rRNA from 1 species